rnacentral:hammerhead_ribozyme from 1 species
AUCCAGCUGACGAGUCCCAAAUAGGACAAAACACGCGUCCUGAAU